rnacentral:rRNA from 1 species
GAGUUUGAUCCUGGCUCAGAUUGAACGCUGGCGGCAUGCCUUACACAUGCAAGUCGAACGGCAGCACGGGAGCUUGCUCCUGGUGGCGAGUGGCGAACGGGUGAGUAAUGCAUCGGAACGUAUCCUGGAGUGGGGGAUAACGUAGCGAAAGUUACGCUAAUACCGCAUAUUCUGUGAGCAGGAAAGCGGGGGACCUUCGGGCCUCGCGCUCUUGGAGCGGCCGAUGUCGGAUUAGCUAGUUGGUGAGGUAAAGGCUCACCAAGGCGACGAUCCGUAGCAGGUCUGAGAGGAUGAUCUGCACACUGGAACUGAGACACGGUCCAGACUCCUACGGGAGGCAGCAGUGGGAAUUUGGACAAUGGGGGCAAACCCUGAUCCAGCCAUGCCGCGUGAGUGAAG